rnacentral:rRNA from 1 species
GUUUGAUCCUGGCUCAGGACGAACGCUGGCGGCGUGCCUAACGCAUGCAAGUCGAGCGGAGAUGGUAGCUGAAGGUGAUGAGCUGGAAGCUAUCAUCUUAGCGGCGGACGGGUGAGUAACACGUAAGCAACCUACCCUCAGCACGGGGAUAACAGCUCGAAAGGGCUGCUAAUACCCGAUGGGACCACGGCAUCGCAUGGUGCUGUGGUGAAAGGGUAGCCGGAGAGGCUAUGCCGGCUGGGGAUGGGCUCGCGGCCCAUCAGCUAGUUGGUGGGGUAACGGCCUACCAAGGCGACGACGGGUAGCCGGCCUGAGAGGGUGUACGGCCACAGUGGGACUGAGACACGGCCCACACUCCUACGGGAGGCAGCAGCGGGGAAUCUUGCGCAAUGGGCGAAAGCCUGACGCAGCGACGCCGCGUGAGGGAAGAAGCCCUUCGGGGUGUAAACCUCUUUGGACGGGGAGAAGUGGAAGAUAGUACCCGUUUAAAAAGCCACGGCUAACUACGUGCCAGCAGCCGCGGUAAUACGUAGGUGGCGAGCGUUGCCCGGAAUUACUGGGCGUAAAGGGUGCGUAGGCGGCCUGGUAAGUUGAGCGUGAAAUUUUUGGGCUCAACCCAAA